GACGAACGCUGGCGGCGUGCUUAACACAUGCAAGUCGAACGGUGAAGCACCUUCCUUUUUGGUGGGUGUGGAUGAGUGGCGAACGGGUGAGUAACACGUGAGUAACCUGCCCCCUUCUUCUGGAUAACCGCAUGAAAGUGUGGCUAAUACGGGAUAUUCUGGGUCUGUCGCAUGAUGGGUCUGGGAAAGAUAUUGUUUCGGUGGGGGAUGGGCUCGCGGCCUAUCAGCUUGUUGGUGGGGUGAUGGCCUACCAAGGCGGUGACGGGUAGCCGGCCUGAGAGGGUGGACGGUCACACUGGGACUGAGACACGGCCCAGACUCCUACGGGAGGCAGCAGGGGGGAAUAUUGCACAAUGGGCGCAAGCCUGAUGCAGCGACGCCGCGUGAGGGAUGGAGGCCUUCGGGUUGUGAACCUCUUUCGCCAGUGAAGCAGGCCUGCCUCGUUUGUGGGUGGGUUGACGGUAGCUGGAUAAGAAGCGCCGGCUAACUACGUG
rnacentral:rRNA from 1 species